rnacentral:ncRNA from 2 species
UGCCUGCCGUUGGGGUGCCCGUGAGGGCUGAGAGGCGCGAUCCGCCAACCCAUCGAACCUGAUCCGGGCAAUGCCGGCGUAGGGAACGGGCUCUUCGACGAU